rnacentral:rRNA from 1 species
GAUCAUGGCUCAGGAUGAACGCUAGCGGCAGGCCUAACACAUGCAAGUCGAGGGGCAGCACGGUGUAGCAAUACAUUGGUGGCGACCGGCGCACGGGUGCGUAACGCGUAUACAAUUUGCCUUAUACUGGGAGAUAGCCCGGAGAAAUUCGGAUUAAUAUCCCAUAAUAUUUUUUCACCGCAUGGUGAGAAUCUUAAAGCUACGGCGGUAUAAGAUGAGUAUGCGUCUGAUUAGCUAGUUGGUGAGGUAAUGGCUCACCAAGGCGACGAUCAGUAGGGGGCCUGAGAGGGUUAUCCCCCACACUGGAACUGAGACACGGUCCAGACUCCUACGCGAGGCAGCAGUGAGGAAUAUUGGUCAAUGGAGGCAACUCUGAACCAGCCAUGCCGCGUGUAGGACGAAUGCCCUCUGGGUUGUAAACUACUUUUAUUGGGGAAGAAACCCUCUUACGUGUAAGAGGCUGACGGUACCCAAGGAAUAAGGACCGGCUAACUCCGUG